GACGAGGGAUCCUAGCGUUGUUCGGAAUCAUUGGGCGUAAAGAGUAUGUAGGCGGCUUUGUAAGUCAGUUGUGAAAUCCCCGGGCUUAACCCGGGAAGUGCAAUUGAUACCGCUAAGCUUGAAUUUGGAAGAGGGUAGUGGAAUUCCUGGUGUAGUGGUGAAAUACGUAGAUAUCAGGAGGAACACCAAUGGCGAAGGCAGAUCUCUGGGCCGUAACUGACGCUGAGGAGCGAAAGCAUGGGGAGCGAACAGG
rnacentral:rRNA from 1 species